GAUGAACGCUGGCGGCGUGCCUAAUACAUGCAAGUCGAGCGAACGGACGAGAAGCUUGCUUCUCUGAUGUUAGCGGCGGACGGGUGAGUAACACGUGGAUAACCUACCUAUAAGACUGGGAUAACUUCGGGAAACCGGAGCUAAUACCGGAUGAUAUUUUGAACCGCAUGGUUCAAAAGUGAAAGACGGCCUUGCUGUCACUUAUAGAUGGAUCCGCGCUGCAUUAGCUAGUUGGUAAGGUAACGGCUUACCAAGGCAACGAUGCAUAGCCGACCUGAGAGGGUGAUCGGCCACACUGGAACUGAGACACGGUCCAGACUCCUACGGGAGGCAGCAGUAGGGAAUCUUCCGCAAUGGGCGAAAGCCUGACGGAGCAACGCCGCGUGAGUGAUGAAGGUCUUCGGAUCGUAAAACUCUGUUAUUAGGGAAGAACAUAUGUGUAAGUAACUGUGCACAUCUUGACGGUACCUAAUCGGAAAGCCACGGCUAACUACGUG
rnacentral:rRNA from 1 species